GCCAGAAUGGUGUAGUGGUUUGAGCAUUGGACUAUGACUCUGGAGACCAGGGUUCGAAUCCCAGCUCCGCCA
rnacentral:tRNA from 1 species